GACUCUUAGCGGUGGAUCACUCGGCUCGUGCGUCGAUGAAGAACGCAGCUAGCUGCGAGAAUGAAUGUGAAUUGCAGGACACAUUGAUCAUCGACACUUCGAACGCACUUGCGGCCCCGGGUUCUUCCCGGGGCUACGCCUGUCUGAGCGUCG
rnacentral:rRNA from 1 species